AGAGUUUGAUCCUGGCUCAGAUUGAACGCUGGCGGCAUGCUUUACACAUGCAAGUCGAACGGCAGCACGGGGGCAACCCUGGUGGCGAGUGGCGAACGGGUGAGUAACACAUCGGAACAUAUCUUAAAGUGGGGAAUAACGCAUCGAAAGGUGUGCUAAUACUCCAUAUACUCUAGCGAGGAAAGCGGGGGAUCGAAAGACCUCGUGUUUUAAGAGUGGCCGAUGUCUGAUUAGCUAGUUGGUAAGGUAAAAGCUUACCAAGGCGACGAUCAGUAGCUGGUCUGAGAGGACGAUCAGCCACACUGGAACUGAGACACGGCCCAGACUCCUACGGGAGGCAGCAGUGGGGAAUUUUGGACAAUGGGCGAAAGCCUGAUCCAGCCAUGCCGCGUGAGUGAAGAAGGCCUUCGGGUUGUAAAGCUCUUUCGGUCGAGAAGAAAUGUCUAUGACUAAUACUUAUAGAAAAUGACGGUAUCGACAUAAGAAGCACCGGCUAACUACGUGCCAGCAGCCGCGGUAAUACGUAGGGUGCAAGCGUUAAUCGGAAUUAUUGGGCGUAAAGGGUGCGCAGGCUGUGUUGUAAGUCAGAUGUGAAAUCCCCGGGC
rnacentral:rRNA from 1 species